rnacentral:rRNA from 1 species
UACGGAGGGGGCAAGCGUUAUCCGGAUUCACUGGGUUUAAAGGGUGCGUAGGCGGGCAGGCAAGUCAGUGGUGAAAUCUUUGGGCUUAACCCGAAAACUGCCAUUGAUACUAUCUGUCUUGAAUAUUGUGGAGGUUAGCGGAAUAUGUCAUGUAGCGGUGAAAUGCUUAGAUAUGACAUAGAACACCAAUUGCGAAGGCAGCUAACUACACACAUAUUGACGCUGAGGCACGAAAGCGUGGGGAUCAAACAGG